GGUGGAAGAGGGAAGAUGGCCGAAUACCUGGCCUCCAUCUUCGGCACCGAGAAAGACAAGGUUAACUGCUCUUUUUACUUUAAGAUCGGGGCUUGUCGGCACGGAGACAGGUGUUCCCGCCUCCACAACAGACCCACCUUCAGCCAGACCAUCGUGCUGCUGAAUCUGUAUCGGAACCCCCAGAACACGGCCCAGUCGGCAGACGGCUCGCACUGUCAUGUCAGCGAUGUGGAAGUGCAGGAGCAUUAUGACAAUUUCUUUGAGGAGGUCUUCAUGGAACUGGAGGAGAAGUAUGGGGAGAUCGAGGAGAUGAACGUUUGUGACAACCUUGGAGACCACCUGGUCGGCAACGUCUAUGUCAAGUUCCUGCGGGAGGAGGACGCCGAGCGGGCCGUGGGGGAGCUGAACAAUCGCUGGUUCAAUGGCCAGGCCGUGCGGGCCGAGCUGUCCCCAGUCACCGACUUCCGCGAGUCCUGCUGCCGUCAGUACGAGAUGGGCAGCACCUGGGCUGGGGGGGAGAGGCGCCUCUCCCCCAGCCACAGCAGGUCCAGGCCAGGCGGGGCCGGGGCGCCUGUCCCCCAGCCUCAGCAGAGAGUGCACACGCGGCGGGUUCUGCAACUUCAUGCACCUGCGGCCCAUAUCCCGGCAGCUGCGCCGGCAGCUCUACGGGCGAAGCCAGCGCGGGCGGGGCCCGUCCCCCUCGCGUUCCUACGACCGGCCCCGUGGCAAGAAACGCCAGCGCUCGCCCGACCAUCGCUAUGGACGCUUCUGACCUCUCCCCAGGCUCCUUGCUUCACCUAGCCCCCCGCCAGCCACCAGUCACCUGACCUGCCAUAGACCCAGCGGAAGUGCGGCUGCUGGAGUCCCCACGCUACGUCUGACCUUCCCGCCGAACCUGGUGCUUCCUUUGGCUAAGCAGGACGCUGCCCAUCUCUGUGCCUGGUUAUUUACCCAGCUGUAGAGCGGCACAACCAGUGAAUCAGCGUCUGAAUUUUGACCUUUUUAACGAUGUUAGAAAACCGGGCCUGCUGCGUUUCCUUGUUUCUGCAUCCAUGCUUUUUACGCUGGGCUCAUGUUACGCUGCCAAGUUACUCCUGGGGGAAUUCUGCGCUACUGCGUGUGCUCAUAAUUAACAAGUCCUGCAGAUUUUUAAAUUUUUGAGCAGAAAAAAGCUUCUGCUGAAAUGUUGCUGCAGUUCUGACUUUUGCCCACUAUAGGGCACUGUGGCACUGGGACAAAGCUGCAGCUCCCCACCAGUGAAGGAAGAGUAAGCGCCUGCCUUCUUCACAGUGCCUGUCAGGCCAGAAGACAGGGGCUAUGGGGAGACAGACAGCGUGGGGUGCUGGGGGGUCAGAUGGGCUCACAGGAGCUAAUGGGGAGGACAGAUUGGGGCAGGAGCUCAAUGGGAAUGGAGGCGCAGGGCCAUGCGGGGGAGGGAGGUACAGAGACAUAUGGUGAUGAGGGAGGGGU